rnacentral:lncRNA from 1 species
CAGAAGAUAAACGGUUAAAAUCUGUUCAACAAGUUGUUGGAUUCCUGGUCACAUGUUCAGCUGCAUCUCUGUGUUUACUUCCUGUUUUGAUGAGAGAGAGGACGGAAAUAUCUGUUGUGUACGGAGCAGAACAGGUCGGGUUUAGGGUCUGAGGGUGUGGACUGGGUCUCUGUGUUUGUAUUGUGGACAUUUACUGGUUUCAUACACAGAGCUGAGCAGCGGUGUAGCACUAAAACCUGGCCCUGGACAUCCACACAUGAAUCUGGUUCUUAGCGGUUAGGACCUCAGGAUGGUUCAGGGUCUGUUCUCCAAGCGCUGGGACCCGUCACCGGACUCCCAUAUUUAUCAAAGAGUGUUGAGCAGCUGAACGUCUGUUUGCAGCCAUGGGGAAUCUGAACAACUGUCUGCUCAGGAAAUCUGCUUGUAAAGAGAUGGGAAAAGACCUGGAUGCUAUUGACCAGAUGUUUCUGUCGUCCAGAGUUAAACGCUGUGUGAUGAUGAUGAAGACCUCGACCUUCCUCAGGUUUGCAGUGGACAACUGUCGGGAUGAAGCUGCUCGACAGUGGUUCGGACGCAACUCUGAGUCGUUCUCCCAACUCACAGACGUCUACCUGUUCCUGAAGAAACGCAUCGACGAGGAGGAAGCGAAGAAUCACAGCAGCAACGUCCACAUCGUCUUAGUGUCUCAUGGAGAAACCAGAGACUCCAUGAUCCCAGCCAGCUGCCUGCUGCCUCUGUCCAACAUCACAGACGUGCUCCUGGAGUCUCCCAGGACUCACUGGACCUCAGUGAGGAAAGCUGGAGACCAGAUGAUUCCCAACAUCGUGCUCAGGCCUCUUAAACCAUCAGAGAACAUUGAAACCCACAGUCAGCCAGGAAGAAACUGCAUCAUCAUCCCGUUCAUCCUCCCAGGACAGAGCAGAGACCGUGUCCCGCUCUCCGUGGUCACCUUGGGCCUGGCUCUGGUUCUCCUCUCCUCCAGGUUUAAAGCCACCGUCCGUCUCUGUGCCUGUCUGACUGAAGCCUCUGCUGGACAGAGGUUGCAUGGGGAGGGCGAUGUGUUCUCCAGACGCUGGACAAAUGUCCUGAAACAUUUCAUGGUCAAACAUCGUCCACGCGUCUGCCUGUGAUGGUGAAUCCGUCAUGAUUUGAUUAUUCUCAGGACUAUGGACAAACUAAGUUAUUUUUUGUACAUAAUAAAUUCAGUGUAUAUAUAAAGUUUUUUAACAAAACCCACAUUUGGAGCCUUUAUAUGAAAUUAAUUUAUGAAAUACGUGU